GAUGAACGCUGGCGGCGUGCCUAAUACAUGCAAGUCGAGCGAACAGACGAGGAGCUUGCUCCUCUGACGUUAGCGGCGGACGGGUGAGUAACACGUGGAUAACCUACCUAUAAGACUGGGAUAACUUCGGGAAACCGGAGCUAAUACCGGAUAAUAUAUUGAACCGCAUGGUUCAAUAGUGAAAUACGGUUUUGCUGUCACUUAUAGAUGGAUCCGCGCCGCAUUAGCUAGUUGGUAAGGUAACGGCUUACCAAGGCAACGAUGCGUAGCCGACCUGAGAGGUGUAUCGGCCAGACUGGAACUGAGCCACGGUCCAGACUCCUACGGGAGGCAGCAGUAGGGAAUCUUCAGCAAUGGGCGAAAGCCUGACGGAGCAACGCCGCGUGAGUGAUGAAGGUCUUCGGAUCGUAAAACUCUGUUAUUAGGGAAGAACAAAUGUGUAAGUAACUAUGCACGUCUUGACGGUACCUAAUCAGAAAGCCACGGCUAACUACGUG
rnacentral:rRNA from 1 species